UGUGAGGGACUGCAAAACCCUUCUCCAGGUCCUGGUUCCUCCCUUGGGAGCUGUGGGUUCCACAGGUGAGUUCUCUGGGAACAGUGGUACCUGGGCGAGUGGCGGGGGCUGCUCAGGCUCUGACUCUUGCGGCGGGUGUAGAGGGAACGAGCGGCUCCAGGGACCCCUGCCCCUUCACUCCCUAGCGCCCGGCGACUGGUAUCCCAUUAGCCGGGAAAGAGCAGGUCCUAUAUUUGACCGCAAGGUGGCGCUGGGAUUCCGGCAGGCCGGGCACCUCGGUUACCUGGACAACCCCGCCCAAGCCACGGGCGUGGGUCUGUCUGGUGUGUCUGUCCGGUAACCAGCUCCAGCCCCGCGGCCGCUGCCGCCCCCAGGCCGCGGCGUGUGCCGACUGCUCCGUGGGGUCCGCCCGAGGUUCGGGUCCCGCCGGCAAGAGGCCUUCCGAGGACUGGGGCCCGGGUCCUCCUCCCACCCCGCGCAAGUAGGUCCGCGUUUUUAACGAGCUCCCAGGGGACACCGAAGGUGCUGGUCCAAGAUCGCUCUUUGAAGGAGCGCGGCGUGGGGAAGCCUUUCCCGCCGAGAGCUGUGCCCUUUUCCGAAUUGCACUGCCUACUCUCAUUCAGUUCAGGAUCUGAUGGAAGCAAGGCAAGGGGGCGCGCUCCCCUUGCAAAAGGACUGCACUGCGGGGUGAGCGCCGGCCGCGCCCCUGCUGAGGGAUCGGUUUCUGCUGAGUGAGUAAGGCGGCUGUCAUGCUGAGGGAAGACACGCGUUGCGUGCCUAAGAUGUCACACCUCGAACUGGACCAACCAGCCCCACAGAGCCAGCAGCUGACCCUCUUGAACCACAGGACAAGCAGUCUGGCGGCUCGCGAAUGUUCUUGGGGCCAGAGCCUCACCCGGUAGCAGGUGCCCGCCGGCCCGCCGUGCCGUCAAGUCAGGGAGCCAUGAGUUCAUUCCGCCGCCCACCACGGCUCGGUCAUUCCUCAGAUUCUUCUCAGAGGCCCGCCCGAGACAGCGAGAGGACUUCUGAUUAACCUCUGCGAAGGCAGAUUGUCAUCCCUGGAGGAUGUGUCUGAAAUUUUUGAAAUAGCCAAAGAGAAAGCAAGUGAGUGCCAGGCACAGGCCACUCGGGGUCAAAGCUGGGGAGUUUCUGCAAAGUAGCGGGUGGGUUUCACACCAUCUGAGAGCUCAGGAGAGGCCCGCGGGUGCGUGUGCCCAGCAGUGGUGGCUGUUGGGUCAAACGCAGUUUCCCAAGGUGGUGAUCAGAGGGGACCCCCUGUUUGGGUACACGAUGCUCCGAGUGCCGUCGCUGAGCCUGGCAUCCCUAGUCUGUGCUGCGGAGUCUGAGCUCGCCCAGCGCAGCCUCUCUAGAGGAGCCGUGGUCGCCUGUCAUUGAUCCAUUCUUCCCUCAGGGAGUAGACAGAGGACCCCUGGACCCCCGACACCUGCACGUCUGCGGCAGCCCCAGACCCCAGAGGUGACCUGGUGGGAACAAGUUUAGUUAAUUGGAAGGACAAACUAGAGUUGGUUCAAUCACAAAUCUUUUGGAAUCGCGCCCCCUUCCUGGCUUGGUUCCAAGUCCAUUUUGCCCGGAUGAAAUGUCCCAUAUGCGGGGGGCGGGGGGGGGGGGGGUCCGCUGGUGCUCCAGGGUUAGCGCUUGGCGCUUUCGCCUCGCGGUGUGGGUUCAUCAAGCUGCUACACACCGUGGCCGAAAAAGGGAUUAAAAAAAAAACCAAAAGGAAAAUGUCCCAUAACCAAGAAAGAGCAAAGAUGUGUAGAGGAGGGGCAGGGGGUUUUGAGGUGGUGAGUGUGGCCUCCGGGUUGGGGGAGGGGCUUCAAGUCCUUGACGUGUCGUGACUGUCUGAAUCCCCCAUCCGAGCCUGUUUCCCGUCUCUAAGGUGGGCUCGACAGCAGCAGACCUCCUUUCCUCUCGGAGCUGUCCAGAGUAUUAAGCGAGCCAAUGUGCGGGAGGCGCCCGGCCCAGAGAAGUGCUCGGCGAACUGUGGGGGCCUCGUUAAGGCCGGCCGAGUCCUUUCCCCUCCUGGCAUCUGCCCUCCCUGCCCUCCCUGCCCUCCCCUGAUGUUCCCUGUGAUGGCGAUGACCCAAAAUACCACCCCCCUGGCAGAGGGCAGCACCCCUCGGAUUAGAAUAACUGCGCAAGAGGACAAUAGAUCAGGGCUCAGGAGAUCAGUGUCUGUUAAAUCAACACAUCUACCUUCUCAAGCCUAGCUCCUGUGUGUGUGUGAAGUCUGGGCGAUGUGGUCAUCCCACUUUAUUCUAAACACCUUCGGAAUCUGCACCAAAAUUCCCUCUUCAGAGUCAUAAUGGACUGAGAAUCUCGGGUCUGGCUGGAGGCAGAAGGAUGAACCCGCCCCCCAGGUUAGAGCCGUAGCCACUGUACACGGAUGUUGCUUUUGCACAAGCACGGUCUUGGGCAGGUUCUCCAGGAGG